GACGAACGCUGGCGGCGUGCCUAAUACAUGCAAGUAGAACGCUGAAGGAGGAGCUUGCUUCUCUGGAUGAGUUGCGAACGGGUGAGUAACGCGUAGGUAACCUGCCUGGUAGCGGGGGAUAACCAUUGGAAACGAUAGCUAAUACCGCAUAACAGUAGAUGUUGCAUGACAUUUGCUUAAAAGGUGCAAUUGCAUCACUACCAGAUGGACCUGCGUUGUAUUAGCUAGUUGGUGGGGUAACGGCUCACCAAGGCGACGAUACAUAGCCGACCUGAGAGGGUGAUCGGCCACACUGGGACUGAGACACGGCCCAGACUCCUACGGGAGGCAGCAGUAGGGAAUCUUCGGCAAUGGACGGAAGUCUGACCGAGCAACGCCGCGUGAGUGAAGAAGGUUUUCGGAUCGUAAAGCUCUGUUGUAAGAGAAGAACGAGUGUGAGAGUGGAAAGUUCACACUGUGACGGUAUCUUACCAGAAAGGGACGGCUAACUACGUGCCAGCUGCCGCGGUAAUACGUAGGUCUCGAGCGUUGUCCUGAUUUAUUGGGCGAAAAGCGAGCGCAUGCUGUUAGAUAAGUCUGAAGUUAAAGGCUGUGGCUUAACCGUAGUACGCUUGUGUAAACUGUUUACUUUGAGGCCAAGAGGUGAGAUUGUAAUUGCUUGUGUUGCUGCUGAAUGCUUUGAUGUUUGUGGGUGACUUCGUGUGGGUGAGUGGCUGGCUGUGUUGUAUGUGAGAGUUGAGUGUGUGUGCGUGGGUUGUAUGUGUGAUUUUGUGCUGUUUAGUCUGGGUGAAUGUCCUGCUGUGUGUGCUCUCAUGUGUGCUGGGCUGCUGGCGUGUGUGCAAAUGAUGUGUGUUUGGUGUUGCUGGUUGUGUAUGUAUGGA
rnacentral:rRNA from 1 species